GCGUUGGCGGUUCAGCGGUAGAAUUCCCACCUUCCAUGUGGAAGAUCCAGGUUUGAUUCCCAGUCAAUGUA
rnacentral:tRNA from 1 species